rnacentral:tRNA from 1 species
GCCAGGAUGGUGGAAAUGGUAGACACAAGGGACUUAAAAUCCCUCGACAUUAAACCUGUCGUGCCGGUUCGAUUCCGGUUCCUGGCA